rnacentral:rRNA from 1 species
UACAUGGGGUGCAAACGUUGCUCGGAAUUAUUGGGCGUAAAGCGCACGUAGGCGGUUCGUUAAGUCGGAUGUGAAAGCCCUCGGCUCAACUGAGGAAGUGCACCCGAAACUGGCGAGCUUGAGUACGAAAGAGGAUCGCGGAAUUCCCGGUGUAGAGGUGAAAUUCGUAGAUAUCGGGAGGAACACCGGUGGCGAAGGCGGCGAUCUGGGUCGAUACUGACGCUGAGGUGCGAAAAGCGUGGGGAGCAAACAGGG